rnacentral:rRNA from 1 species
CCAGGUUGAUUCUGCCUGACGUAGACGCUAUUCCCUAAGAUUAACCCAUGCAUGUUAUUGAUUUUUGAAAAAUGGACUGCUCAGUAAUACUCACUUAAUUUUAUGUAUACUUAUUAUAACUACGUUAAAGUGUAGAUAAAAUGUAUACAGUAAGAGUGAGACCUAUCAGCUAGUUGUUAAGGUGAUGGCUUAACAAGGCAGUGACGGGUAACGGUAUUACUUUGUAAUAUUCCGGAGAAGGAGCCUGAGAGACGGCUACUAAGUCUAAGGAUUGCAGCAGGGGCGAAACUUGACCUAUGGAUUUUAUCUGAGGCAGUUAUGGGAAGUAAUAUUAUAUUGUUUCAUAUUUUAAAAGUAUAUGAGGUGAUUAAUUGGAGGGCAAAUCAAGUGCCAGCAGCCGCGGUAAUACUUGUUCCAAGAGUGUGUAUGAUGAUUGAUGCAGUUAAAAAGUCCGUAGUUUAUUUUUAAGAAGCAAUAUGAGGUGUACUGUAUAGUUGGGAGAGAGAUGAAAUGUGACGACCCUGACUGGACGAACA